rfam:Pyramidobacter piscolens W5455 contig00020, whole genome shotgun sequence.
UACCCCGUGGUGCAACGGCAGCACAAGGGAUUUUGGUUCCCUUGAUCCUGGUUCGAAUCCAGGCGGGGUAG